UGGGGAAUCUUGGACAAUGGGCGAAAGCCUGAUGCAGCAACGCCGCGUGCGGGAAGACAGCCCUAGGGUUGUAAACCGCUUUCAGCAGGGAAGAAACUGACGGUACCUGCAGAAGAAGAUGCGGCCAACUACGUGCCAGCAGCCGCGGUGACACGUAGGCAUCAAGCGUUAUCCGGAUUUAUUGGGCGUAAAGAGCUCGUAGGCGGUUCGGUAAGUCGGGUGUGAAAACUCUGGGCUCAACCCAGAGAGGCCACUCGAUACUGCUGUGACUAGAGUGCGGUAGGGGAGCGGGGAAUUCCUGGUGUAGCGGUGAAAUGCGCAGAUAUCAGGAGGAACACCAGUGGCGAAGGCGCCGCUCUGGGCCGUAACUGACGCUGAGGAGCGAAA
rnacentral:rRNA from 1 species